rnacentral:misc_RNA from 1 species
GCAGCUGGAUUAAACCUGGAGCUGCAGUUAUUGAUGUUGGCACAAAUGCUAUUGAUGAUCCAAGUAAGAAGUCGGGUUAUAGGCUAGUGGGAGAUGUAGAUUACAAGGAAGCAUGUAAGGUAGCCGGAUGGAUUACCCCUGUUCCAGGUGGUGUGGGUCCAAUGACUGUUGCAAUGCUACUUAAGAACACCUUGGAUGGUGCAAAGCGGGUAUUCAUGCAGUAAUGUUCCAUAUAUUUUUUUUCUCUUUCAAAUAUAAUUUUUGCCAAUAUUCUUCGUAAGCCCUAUCCUCUGUUUUCACUUCAUGAUUAACUCCCGCG